UACGUAGGGUGCGAGCGUUGUCCGGAAUUAUUGGGCGUAAAGAGCUCGUAGGCGGCUUGUCGCGUCGUCCGUGAAAACUUGGGGCUCAACCCCAAGCUUGCGGUCGAUACGGGCAGGCUGGAGUUCGGUAGGGGAGACUGGAAUUCCACGUGUAGCGGUGAAAUGCGUAGAGAUGUGGAGGAACACCAAUGGCGAAGGCAGCCUUCUGGGCCAACACUGACGCUCAUGCACGAAAGCGUGGGGAGCAAACAGG
rnacentral:rRNA from 1 species